CCAGCAGCUCUGUUGCUGUUCUUGAUUUUUUUUUAUCUCUUCUCAAUUUGGCUCCCCUAACUUUAAAUAUUCACAUUUUUUUAAUUCGGUUAUCGUUUCGACAAAUCUUAUAUCAACAUUUAAGCCUCAUUAACACCAACACAUUAGCCCCUCGAUUUUCCCUCAAAAUGACCACGCAAGACAGAACGAAGGCAAGAAAGGAAGCAAAUCCCGCCGAAGAAACAACAAAUUUCGGCCAAUUCAUCGGAAUCUGACUUUAAGCCAAGGGAGAAGUUUAAUUCUCUUCUUAUGGCCUUCCUUUCUAUUUUGGUCUUGUCUCGAAGAUGAGACAUGAUAGAUAAACAAGAAUGUGGUGACGUAAUGUGUGUCGAUCUUGAACGUAUGUCGGGAUCGGAGCGUGACAAAUUCGUUGCAAUGAUAGAAGUAUUGUCACACAGAAUUGAAGUUGAUUUAACUUGUUCUUUUUCAAGACCUCCAAGAAUAUGAUGGAGAUAAUGGCGUAGUAAUUCAUAACCCUUUUCAAUGCUGCCAGACGCUACUGAAGUUGAAGGCCCCCUUGUUGUCGGUUCUUGAAAAGCUUACCCUACUUGGAGAAGGAGAAAAAUUUACUCCUUUGGAAUCCACUCAAUAACAAUUUCAUGGAGAUCGAAGGAAUGGACAACACAAUAGCUUACGGCUUCGUUUUUCAUUUAACGAUUUCUUCCUUCUGAAACUGAUACCUCCGAUUUCAAAGAUCCUAACUUUUCAGGUGUGGGUUCUUGGAGCAUUAUAUCUGGUUUUAAGUUCAUGGUACUCCAUCCGUUCGGAACAGUUAUGGGAAACACUGUCUUUUGGAGGGGUAAAUCUUUGACGCUCAAAGGUUUUGUGGCUUUUAGUGUCGAGAAGGGCACCAUUUCAAUGCUCAAUUUGUCGGCUGGCAGUGGCGGUAUUGAUAGCUUGAUGGUUGGCGAUGUGGGGAGUCACUUUUUACUUGUCAAUAUGAUGAAUAACUCAAUUUGUUAAAAUCUGGCGAUUAGAAGGAGAUGAUGAUGGUAAUCCAUGAGGAUGGACUACCAUUGCCACUCUUUCUAACUCUAGUAGAACUCGCGCCAUUGGUAUCCCGCAGAGAGUGUAUCCCUUAGCACUCUCAAAAAAUGGAACUUCGCUCAAAGUCCUAACAGUGUGGAGAUGCAAUUGAGCCUCAAAACAGAUUGCUUUUCCAUGACUGAACCAUCCGCCGAGAUACAGUGCUUUCAACAUAUUUGCUAGAAUGGUUCCGAUAUGAAGAGAGAGGAAGUAGCUGCACAAGUGAAAGAAUACGAGAGGAAGAGCAAAGACAUGAAAGACUCUUCGAUAGAGAGAGAAGAAUCAGAGAGGAUGAGGGGCUAUGAGAGGAGACAAGACAAAGAUUGGAGGAGGGGCUAUGAGGAGACAUGACAACAUAAGGAAGAGGGAGAAAGAGAAGGAUAGGAGAGAAGACAGAAAAAUGAGAGGAUAUCCAAGAGGUAAAUUCUAUACAGAUCUUUUCAUUUGGUAGGUUUUCUAUACAUAACUUAUCUCUGGUAAUAGCGAAUUGUUUCAUGUUGCUUCUUUCACAGUAAGCUACAUUUUUGUGGUUUGAGUUUUAGUUUAUUAUGAUAUGAAUCAUCAAGCUCACCUUUAGUCUCUGUUUGUUUCAGAUUGUCACAGUUGGUCUCUGCCUAAGUAGAUACUUUAAUUAGCAGUAGGUUGUGUUUUUAGUUGAGUGGAGUUUAUGGAAAUCCCAUAUUUACUAUUUAUCUUUAAUUGCUGCAGUUUAUGAAGACAGGACAGAAAUAGUGACGAGAGGGAAAGACCCGAGGAAGACAGAGAAGGAAGGCAUCAUAAGGGGUAAUUUCUAUGCAACUUUGUAUGUCAUUUGGUAGGCGCUUAUGGACACACUUUGUUUUAUGUUGUAACAUGGAAUGUUACAACAUUUCCAUGUUCCUAUGAUACCUGUUAGUCUAUUAAGAUGGAGAAUCUCCUAGAGAUGCUUUAUUAAAUUCAGUGUCAUUAACUGCAUCAAAUGGUCAAUCCAAUUUAAGUCUUUGUUGAAUUUCAAUUACAAGUUUGUGUUUUAAGUUUUAUUUUAUUGUGGCUUGAAUCAUCCAGGCUCACCUUCAAUCUCUGUUGGUUUCAAAUUGUCACAAUAGGCUUGUACCAUUGUGUUCAUAUCAUUAUUUCCUCCUGUGGAAGAAGCAACAGGAAACAAAGAUACGAACACAAUGAUACAUGCCUAAUAUGACAAUCUGAAACCGACAGAGACCGAAUGUGAGCUAGGAUGAUUCAGGCUACAAUAAAAUAAAACUCAAAACAAACUUGUAAUUGAAAUUCAACAAAGACUUAAAUUGGAUUGACCAUUUGAUGCAGUUAAUGUCACUCAAUUUAAUAAAGCAUCCCUAGGAGAUUCUCGAUCUUAAUAGGCUAACUGGUAUCAUAGGAACAUGGAAUGUUAUAACAUGAAAAACAAAGUGUGUCCAUAAGUGCCUACCAAAUGAAAUACCAAGUUGCAUAGAAAUUACCCCUUAUGAUGCCUUCCUUCUCUGUCUUCCUCGGGUCUUUCCCUCUCACCACUCUUUCUAUCAUGUCUCCAUAAAUUGCAGCAAUCAAAGAUAAACAGUUAAUAUGGAGUUUCUAUAAACUCCACUCAACUAAAAACACAACCUACUGCUAAUUAAAGUAUCUACUCAGGCAGGGGCCUACUGUGACAAUCUAAAAUAGACAAAGACUGAAGGUGAGCCUGUAAACUAGAACACAAAACUUGUAGUAUUACUGUGAAAGAAGCAACAACAAACAAUUCACUAUUACCAGAGAUAAGUUAUGUAUAGAAAACAUACCAAAUGAAAAGAUCUGUACAGAAUUUACCUCUUGGAUAUCCUCUCAUUUUUCUUUCUCUCCUAUUCUUCCCUUUCUCCCUUUACCUUAUUUUGUCAUGUCUCUUCUCAUAGCCCCUCCUCCAAUCUUUGUCUUGUCUCAUCUCUCCCUUCCUUUCUCCCUCUACCUUAUUUUGUGGCCAGAGAAAAUAUGAAGAAAGUGGAUCUGCAGCCUCAGCACCAAAAGUUACUUCACAUUAAAUUAGUACUGGAGGAUACCAUAACAAGACGGGGGUUGAUGGAUUUUGUGACUUAAAUUGGCUUUCUUCUGAAGCGAAUGAUGAGGAGGAGGAUACCUUCCAGAGGUAUGCUUUAUGGAAAUGCCUUUACGUUGGCAUAGGAGGAGAACCUCCCAUUUGUCUGGUUCAUUAGCUUAAAUAUCUUCAGAAACAUGAAGGUGUUGUUCAUCUCUUUGUAGAUGGCUUAUACAUUGUUGUUCUUACGGAAACCUCUGUUGUAAGUGGGGUGCUAAGAAUAUAUUGAAAUGGUUAUAAUAAGGAUAAUAAGAGAAAGUAACUAUGGCAGAAGAAAUUUUGAUAA